GCACAAGCGGUGGAGCAUGUGGUUUAAUUCGAUGCAACGCGAAGAACCUUACCUGGCCUUGACAUACUAGAAACUUUCCAGAGAUGGAUUGGUGCCUUCGGGAAUCUAGAUACAGGUGCUGCAUGGCUGUCGUCAGCUCGUGUCGUGAGAUGUUGGGUUAAGUCCCGCAACGAGCGCAACCCUUUUCCUUACUUGCCAGCAUUUCGGAUGGGAACUUUAAGGAUACUGCCAGUGACAAACUGGAGGAAGGCGGGGACGACGUCAAGUCAUCAUGGCCCUUACGGCCAGGGCUACACACGUGCUACAAUGGUCGGUACAAAGGGUUGCUACCUAGCGAUAGGAUGCUAAUCUCAAAAAGCCGAUCGUAGUCCGGAUUGGAGUCUGCAACUCGACUCCAUGAAGUCGGAGUCGCUAGUAAUCGCGGAUCAGAAUGCCGCGGUGAAUACGUUCCCGGGC
rnacentral:rRNA from 1 species